UGAUUGGUUUUUGGUUGAUAUUCACUUGUUCUUUCUUGUUUGAUUUUUUUCAUUUUGCUGGUAUCUACUAUUUUCAAGGAUAAAUCUGGGUUUGUGACUGAGGCUAACUAGAUUUGAGU